UCUAAACCAGACAGGCGCGGGCGCAUCAGCGCUGUGUUUCUCCCCGGCCCACUCUGAUCCAUAAAUAGCCUACGCACCCAGCCGGCACCAGCCCACCCACCCCAGCUGGUACCAAAAACAUCACCACCCCCUACGCCCCAGCCCCCGGGGCCAGGAGGCCCCCGCGGCCCAACAAAGCUAUUUCCUGAGCUCUCCCCAGGGCAAAGGCCUCCGCCACCAGCUCCCUCUCUCGAGGGGUCCAGAGUGGGGACAUCCUGGCACUGCCUGGGUGAUACCCGCGCACCCCGGCGCCUGCAAAGCAUCCCCAGCGCGCCCACCUCUCUCCAGUUUUCAGCGGACACAACAUCUUUCUUUAUACGUGGUGCUGAGGAUCGAACCCGGGCCGCACGCAUGCCAGGCCCUUCAUGGGACAGCCCUGUCAUCACGCCUCUUUACAGAUCAGGACACUGAUCACGCCAGCCGCUCACCACCUGAGGCCGGAGCAUAACAAUGACCGCUGCCUUCUGCUAGUUCCUGGGUAGAAGGCCGAUUGUAGGUUGCCCUGGCUCUUCCAGUCACAGGGCGGGGGACCUGGUCCAUCUGCUUCUGUGCCAGCACCAUCAUCACUGCUGACACCCUCCCCAGAAGCCAGAGAGAUCAGGGGAUCAAAGCAUGGGGUUGGUAAUAGGAGCUGACAGCUCCCAGCCCAGACACCAAGUGCACCUUCCACCCCCAGCCUCUGCCCUGUCUGCCGCGAGGUGGAUACUGCAGGGAGACGUUGGAGACAUCCUGGGGAAAGGCGAGUGUGCUCAGGCUCCCACCCCUCUACAGACCCAGGACAGCACACACCGCAGUUUAGUUUCAGAACCUGAUUCCUGAACCACCUGAGACAAGAAGCCUUCUUGGGCCUCAGAGUCGCCAGAACCCUCUUUCAAUAUGCAGCUUCCCGCGCCUCUUCUUCACAGCUUGUGAUACAGCAGGGCUGGUGACACCCAGGAACCUGUCACUUUUAAAAGCUCCUCAGGGGACUCCCACGUGGGAGCUCAGCUACACUUAGAGAAUCAAAGCUGUAAGAUGUUUGCAAGUUCAAACAAAUUCCAUGACAUCAAGUAAGGCAGGAAGGGACCCUGAGAUGACAGUAACUCCAACAUCCGGAGCCUGCAGCUCUUUGUCACCCUCCACCGUCGGAGCUGUGGCCCCAGCCCCCCUUUGUCACUCGUCUUUGAAUCCUCGGAGCCUCUGGGGGCUCACAGAGGAUGCAGAGCGGCAGGCAGAACUCAGAGCUCUGUUCCUCCUUCCCAAGAGCGAAAGGCACAGCUUGUGGAACUGUCUGGAGGCAGAAAAUCCACUCUUCACCUUGAAGGGAGAAAGCCGGGCACAGAAGACAGCUGGAGCGGGCCCAGGGCCGGCCCUCCAGUUUGCAGUCUAGGGCUGGGGAAGGGGGACUGCCAUAUGGCCGCAGCCUGGCUGAUGCUCCCCGCAGCCCCCAAACAAAGCGGAGGCAUCCAAGAGACAAUGUCCUGCCCUUGACUCCAUCAGAAUGUCACGGCCCCAGGCUCAGCCCACUCAGGUGGGAACCAAAGAAUGGCUUUAGGAGUGACCCCGACACCUGAUCUGCCUUCCCCUUCAGCUGUCCGGGCCUGCAGGCUGCAGGGAGCAGAUGACGGCUUCCAGCCGAGGUGAGGGGGCUGCCAGGAGCCUGCAGAGCAAGGCACCCCCAGGAGCGUAUUCAUGUUUGGGCCUUCUUCCUGCUCCAUCUGGCCCUCGCUGGCAGAGCUCCCGGCUCGACUUACCCCUGGCAGGGCCGCGUGUCCUGCCAACCCUCCGAGGGCCCAGGAGGGACGGGAAGAGAUGGGGCGAGGAGCGGAGAUGGGAGCCAAUUCUUUCCCACGGUGCUGGACCACACAACCCGGAGCCCCAGGUGGACACUGCACACCUGGGCCGAGGCGGAACCCCAAGAUUCUUUUGUCUCCCCUACCCACCCCUGAGUGACCGUGCAGCCCUCAGCCUGCACGGGGAUGGCACCUGCACGGGCCCUGAGAGGGACCAGCCUGAGCUGGAAUCUCUGGAGGUGGCACCAGCCAUGUCCCCUCCCUCUCUGUACCUGUCACUCCCCCACCAGGGGCUGGCGUCUGUUUCUCCUAGAAUCUGGGCUGACCUUGUGACACUCUGGACAACAGAAGGGCUCAGGGGUGACACCUGACCCUUCCUCAUUGAUCCUUAGGAGGCUUAGUGGCUCCUGCUUCAAUGCUCUCUGGGGAAGCCUCCUCUAUGCUUUAAGGAAGCUCAAGUUACUGAGAGAUCUGUCCCUGUGUAGGGAGUGGCCACACGGGGGUGGGGGGACUUGGAGCCUAGUUUUCUUGCCCCUCUAUCUGCUCAGUAGUGACCUUAGGGUCACCAAAACCACAGAUAAGGCUUACAACACAACCAGCGACCAAGGGCCAGCAAGGCCGAAAAUCCAGAUGGAUGAGGACAAGCUACUGACAGUCACAAGACCGUGCAUCUGUCGGGGAGGACGCAGAGGGAAGCCACGGGGCAGCAUCCGGUGGACAGGAAAUCAGGGGACCUCAACAGGCAGCAGAUAUUCACCAGAAGGCAGGAGCCAAUUGCAGGACUCCUGAAACGGGUGACCAAGCGCAAGGGCCGAGGGGUCUGGAGGGUCGGGGGAGCUCACGGGGCUCUGGAAACAGGCAUGGCAAGGCCACCUGCUCCACCCUCGGGAGACACUGCCCGGCACGGCAUAGAAUUUGGAGUAGAAUAGGACAACAGAAAUGAAGGAUGGAGCCAUGUGAGGUGGGGCACGCCUGUAAUCCCUGGGACCCGGGAGGCUGAGGCAGGAGGACCCCAAGUUCAAGGCCAGCCUCAGCGACUUGGGCCUUCAGCAGCUCAGCGAGACCCUGCUUAAAAAAUAAAAUAAAAUAAAACUAAAGGGCUGGAGAUGUAGCCCAAUGGUAAAUACCCCUGGUUCAAUCCCCAGUAUCAAAAGAAAUAAAGAAAGAAAUGAAGGACAGGAAGAGAGUCUGAAACAAAUGGGAAUGGCAGUUUCUAAUUUAUUGUGUCUCCUUUCUGGCCCUCCCUUAGUUCCUCAUAUCAGAUGAGCUCACAAAGAUCUUCCUAGUACUGCCUCCUAGAGGCUCUGGAGGCUGAGACAGGAGAACAGCAAGUUCAAAGCCAGCCUCAUCAAAAACAAGGCUCUAAGCAACUCAGUGAGCCCCUGUCUCUAAAUAAAAUUCAAAACAGGGCUGGGAUGU